AGACCUCCUGGGCCUUACACUGGUCAUAUGUCCAUGCCUGUGGUUGUGCCAUCACCCCACUAUUGUCCACACCUAAACCCCAGAAGCAUAUGUCAGAGGGGAAGUAAACUAGCAUGUCUGAGGGUUGUGGCAGCCACAACACUUGAGGAACAAAGAAAGAGCUUUGGACUGAGUAAGGGAUCCUGUCUGGAAUCAGGAUCCCUUAUUGGAAUUCAACCAGUAAGACUGCUGAAGCAUGUGGAGGAGCUUGACGGGGUGAUGUCAAGGGCUCACAGUACAAAACCUCAAGUGGCUCACAACCCACUCAUCAACCGUACCGGGCUUCAUUGUCCAAUGGGAUGCUGAUGAGGGCCAGGGCAAGGAGAAAACAGGUACCACAGAGGAUGCCUUGGAAGACCUACAGGAUGAGGAGCCUAUGAUUCUGCAUCUCUGCCCAGAGGAGCCAGUUGAGGAAGCCCUGCACUGACGAACCCAAGAAGGA